rnacentral:rRNA from 1 species
AUGGUUGUCGUCAGCUCGUGUCGUGAGAUGUUGGGUUAAGUCCCGCAACGAGCGCAACCCUUAUUGUUAGUUGCCAUCAUUUAGUUGGGCACUCUAGCGAGACUGCCGGUGACAAACCGGAGGAAGGUGGGGAUGACGUCAAAUCAUCAUGCCCCUUAUGACCUGGGCUACACACGUGCUACAAUGGGAAGUACAACGAGUCGCUAGACCGCGAGGUCAUGCAAAUCUCUUAAAGCUUCUCUCAGUUCGGAUUGCAGGCUGCAACUCGCCUGCAUGAAGCCGGAAUCGCUAGUAAUCGCGGAUCAGCACGCCGCGGUGAAUACGUUCCCGGGCCUUGUACACACCGCCCGUCACACCACGAGAGUUUGUAACACCCGAAGUCGGUGAGGUAACCUUUUUGGAGCCAGCCGCCUAAGGUGGGAUAGAUGAUUGGGGUGAAGUCGUAACAAGGUAGCCGUAUCGGAAGGUGCGGCUGGAUCACCUCCUUUCUAAGGAA